rnacentral:tRNA from 1 species
GCCUUCGUGGUGUAACGGUAGCACACUCGGCGCGUAUUCCAGAGGUCUAGGUUCGAGUUCCGGCGAGGGCA